UAACUGUCUAUAAUCUAAAAAACAAAUUUAUUAUGAAAAUAAAAGUGUGUACACCAGUUAAAUUGGACGAUAAAGAAAUUGCUAACAAUAAUUUUAAUGUGGGUAUAUUAUCAGUAAACUAAUCAUUAAAUAUUUAUAAUCAUUCAAAAAAUAUUGGCCCCUUUCAUAAUGUUGUUCAAAAAUGAAGGCCACAAUGCUAAUGUUGUCCACUCGAUGGCGCCACAGGAUAGCAAAUACUUCAAGAUCUGUUCAAAGACUUGAAAAUGUUUCAUUUAUGUGCAUAAAUAAAAAAUGCAUAAACAUUCAUUCUUUUUUCAUAAACUUUAAUAAAGCCCAAUAUAGUAAUUAUGCAAAAGCUAUCAUCUCCUAAAUACCAUUACUUUUUUUUAAUUGUAUUGACAACAUAUUUCUCAAGUUAUCACACAUUACUGAAAAAGUGUAGAAGGG
ensembl:lncRNA